rnacentral:lncRNA from 1 species
AUUUACAUAUGAUAUAGUAAGUUUAAUUAAUGCAUAUAAUAUAUAAAAAAAUUUACCUAAAUCCGUCUAGACUGUCUAGGCGCCCACCUAAACCCCGCCUAGCUGCCUAAGCGCUAGGUAUCAUCCCACCGUCCGACUAGCGCUUAGCGUUUUUAGAACCUUGAUUUUAUGUAAAAUUGAUCAAUAAUUUCUAUUACGUGGUCCAUAUAGUUGAUUAUACACCUUAAAUUGACAUCGACAAGGACAGUUUGUAUAUAUUCGACUAAUUAUGUAUAUGUAGGAUGCAGACUUAUAUAACUUGAAUAUUAACUUAGCUAAUCAAAGCGAUCAUACAACAAAGUCACCUUGUUAAUAUUCCAGAUUAAUAUAUUGGAUUCCGCUCCCACUCAAAGAGAAAUUUUUCAGUGUACCUAAAACACGGGUUGGUACAUCACAUGUUAUUAUACAAGUAGUAAGAUACUUGAAACCACUUGAAAAAUAAAACUUCCCUCCACUUAUAUAAUGACAUGUGGUGUACCACCUCGUGUUCCAAACACACUCAAAAAUUUCGCCCACUAAAGAACAUGGGGUAGCUUACUCUACAUGACGAAUGAUUACUUCACUCUCUUUUUAAUCUCUUACUUCAAGAAAAUUAAGAGACAUAACUAAGUAGAUAGUACAUAAAGUCAAAAGAGAGUGCGAAAAUCAUUUUCGAUUCUAUAUGUUCGUUUUUCUUCAAAAAGAAAACCCUAAUUAAAUAUGUCAUAUCUAGACAGUCCAAUGCCGUUUUUAAACGUUGAAAGGAAAUCCUGUAUAACUGUUCGUUACAUUGGUUGUCUUGCUGCUUCGUGCCUAGGCCUGGCAAUUCCUGACACGACCCGAUAACCCGACACGACACGACACGAAAUUAACAGGUGUUCGGGUCGACACGAUAACAAAUCGGGUCGUUAUCAGGUAACCCGAUAAGCACAUGUUAAGAUAACGGGUUGGUUCGGGUAUACACGUAGGUAACACGAGACACGAUAAGCAGAAUAUUAAUUUUAUAAUUUUAUAGCCCUAAAAAUACUAUAAUUAUAUAUAUAUAUAUAUAUAUUAAAAUAACUAUAAUAAUUAUACCCCCAAAAUAUUAACUAUAAUAAUUAUACGUACAUAAUAAAUAGAUUUAAAUCUACUUAAUAAAUAUAUAUAUAUACACACACACACAUAUCAUUGAACUUCAUGGGAUAUGAAUUAUACGAAACUAAUUUUAAUGAUCCAACCGUCAAAUUUGUUUGUAUAUGCUUCGAGAUUGCAUCAUUAAAAAAUCGCAAAAAACAAACAUUCAGAGAUUAAGUAACCAAACAAAACUUUUCAACGGUUAUAAAACGAAAAAUCACGAUUUAACUAUUAUUUUAACUCCGAUUUUUAUGAUUUUUUACAGCUACACACUCCUUGACCCUAUAUGAAUACAAUGAAUGAAUUCGAUCUUCAAUUUAAAAUAUUUACACUAGUGGAUAUCUUAUGUUAUACUUAAUAAAAGUAUGAAUAAACUCUUAAGUGUUAGUGAAUCUAUUGUUUUGAUGGGAUACACAUUCUAUGAAACUAGUUUCAACAAUUCAACCAUCAAACAUGUUUGUUUAUACUUCGAGAUCGCAUACUCCAAAAAUUGCAAAAAACAAACAUUCAGAGAUUAAGUAACCAAACAAAACUUUUCGACAGUUAUAAAACAAAAAAUCACGAUUUAACGAUUACUUUAACUCCGAUUUUGAUGAUUCUUUACAGCUACACUCCUUGACCCUAUAUGAAUACAAUGAAUGAAUUCGAUCUUCAAUUUAAAAUAUUUACACUAGUGGAUACCACAAAAUCUUAUGUUAUACUUAUUGAAAGUAUGAACAAACUCUUAAAUGUUAGUGAAUCUAUUGUUUUGAUGGGAUACGCGUUCUACAAAACUAGUUUCAACGAUCCAACCGUCAAACAUGUUUGUAUAUACUUCAAGAUCGCAUACGCCAAAAAUUGCAAAAAAAAAACAUUCGGAGAUCAAGUAACGGGACAAAUCUUUUCGACGGUUAUAAAAAGAAAAAUCAUGAUUUAACGGUUAUUUUAACUCCGAUUUUGAUGAUUUUUUUACAGCUACACUCCUUGACCCUAUAUGAAUACGAUGAAUGAAUUCGAUCUUCAAUUUAAAUAUUUACACUAGUGGAUACCACAAAAUCUUGUUAUACUUGAUGAAAGUAUGAAUAAACUCCUGAGUGUUAGUGAAUCUAUUGUUUUAAUGGGAUACGCAUUCUACAAAAUUAGUUUCAACGAUCCAACCGUUAAACAUGUUUGUAUAUACUUCGAGAUCGCAUACGUCAAAAAUUGCAAAAAACAAACAUAUAGAGAUCAAGUAACAGGACAAAACCUUUCGACGGUUAUAAAAAGAAAAAUCACGAUUUAACGGUUAUUUUAACUCUGAUUUUGAUGAUUCUUUACAAUUACACUCAUUGACCCUAUAUGAAUACAAUGAAUGAAUUCGAUCUUCAAUUUAAAAUAUUUACACUAGUGGAUACCACAAAAUCUUAUGUUAUACUUAAUGAAAGUAUGAAUAAACUCUUAAGUGUUAGUGAAUUUAUUGUUUUGAUGGGAUACGCAUUCUACGAAAUUAGUUUCAACGAUCCAACCAUCAAACAUGUUUGUAUAUACUUCGAGAUCGCAUACGCCAAAAAUUGCAAAAAGCAAACAUUCAAAGAUCAAGUAACGGGACAAAACUUUUCGACGGUUAUAAAAAAAAUCAUGAUUUAAUGGCUAUUUUAACUCCGAUUUUGAUGAUUUUUGACAGCUACACUCCUUGACCCUAUAUGAAUACAAUGAAUGAAUUCGAUCUUCAAUUUAAAAAAUUACACUAGUGGAUACCACAAAAUCUUAUGUUAUACUUAAUGAGUAUGAAUAAACUAUAAUAAUUAUAUACAUUAAUUUAACAAUUUUAUACCCCUAAAAACUAAAAUAAUUAUAUAAUAUAAUUA